CGUGAAAUAAGCAUAUCAAUAAGCGGAGGAAAAGAAACCAACAGGGAUUGCCCUAGUAACGGCGAGUGAAGCGGCAACAGCUCAAAUUUGAAAUCUGGCUCUUUUAGAGUCCGAGUUGUAAUUUGCAGAGGGCGCUUUGGCUUUGGCAGCGGUCCAAGUUCCUUGGAACAGGACGUCACAGAGGGUGAGAAUCCCGUACGUGGUCGCUGGCUAUUGCCGUGUAAAGCCCCUUCGACGAGUCGAGUUGUUUGGGAAUGCAGCUCUAAAUGGGAGGUACAUUUCUUCUAAAGCUAAAUAUUGGCCAGAGACCGAUAGCGCACAAGUAGAGUGAUCGAAAGAUGAAAAGCACUUUGGAAAGAGAGUCAAACAGCACGUGAAAUUGUUGAAAGGGAAGCGCUUGCAGCCAGACUUGCUUGCAGUUGCUCAUCCGGGUUUUUACCCGGUGCACUCUUCUGUAGGCAGGCCAGCAUCAGUUUGGGCGGUAGGAUAAAGGUCUCUGUCACGUACCUCCUUUCGGGGAGGCCUUAUAGGGGAGACGACAUACUACCAGCCUGGACUGAGGUCCGCGCAUCUGCUAGGAUGCUGGCGUAAUGGCUGUAAGCGGCCCGUCUUGAAACACGGACCAAGGAGUCUAACAUCUAUGCGAGUGUUUGGGUGUCAAGCCCGAGCGCGUAAUGAAAGUGAACGGAGGUGGGAACCCGCAAGGGUGCACCAUCGACCGAUCCUGAUGUCUUCGGAAGGAUUUGAGUAAGAGCAUGGCUGUUGGGACCCGAAAGAUGGUGAACUAUGCUUGAAUAGGGUGAAGCCAGAGGAAACUCUGGUGGAGGCUCGCAGCGGUUCUGACGUGCAAAUCGAUCGUCAAAUUUGGGCAUAGGGGCGAAAGACUAAUCGAACUAUCUAGUAGCUGGUUCCUGCCGAUUUUCCU
rnacentral:rRNA from 1 species